AGUGAACGCUGGCGGUAGGCCUAACACAUGCAAGUCGAACGGCGGCACAGUAAGGACUUGCUCGUACGGGUGGCGAGUGGCGUAGGGGUGGGGAAGACAUCGGCACCUACUUUUUCGUGGGUGGAGACGGAGGGAAACUUACGCUAAUACGACAUAUGACCUAUGGUAGAAUGCAGGGGAUUGUCGUACUUUGCGCGAAUUUAUGAGCCGAUGUUGGAUUAGCGUGUUGGCGGCGUGUAGGCGCACAAAGGGUACGAUACGUAGCUGGUCUGCGAGGAUGAGCACCCAAACUGGCACUGAGGCACGGUCCAGACUCCUACGGGAGGCAGCAGUGGGGAAUAUUGGACGAUGGGCGCAAGCCUGAUCCAGGCAUACCGCGUGGGUGAAGAAGGCCUUCGGGUUGUAAAGCCCUGUUGUUGUGAAAGAAAAGCAGCAGGUUUAUACCCCGCUGUUCUGACGGUACCCAAAGAAUAAGCACCGGCUAACUUCGUG
rnacentral:rRNA from 1 species